rnacentral:rRNA from 1 species
UACGUAGGGGGCUAGCGUUGUCCGGAAUCAUUGGGCGUAAAGCGCGCGUAGGCGGCCCGGUAAGUCCGCUGUGAAAGUCCAGGGCUCAACCCUGGAAAGCCGGUGGAUACUGUCGGGCUCGAGUCCGGAAGAGGCGAGUGGAAUUCCUGGUGUAGCGGUGAAAUGCGCAGAUAUCAGGAGGAACACCAAUUGCGAAGGCAGCUCGCUGGGACGUUACUGACGCUGAGACGCGAAAGCGUGGGGAGCGAACGGG